UACGUAGGGUGCGAGCGUUGUCCGGAAUUAUUGGGCGUAAAGAGCUUGUAGGCGGUUUGUCGCGUCUGCUGUGAAAUCUCAAGGCUCAACCUUGAGCUUGCAGUGGGUACGGGCAGACUAGAGUGUGGUAGGGGAGACUGGAAUUCCUGGUGUAGCGGUGAAAUGCGCAGAUAUCAGGAGGAACACCGAUGGCGAAGGCAGGUCUCUGGGCCAAUACUGACGCUGAGAAGCGAAAGCAUGGGGAGCGAACAGG
rnacentral:rRNA from 1 species